GCAGUCGAGCGGUAACAGAUCCAGCUUGCUGGAUGCUGACGAGCGGCGGACGGGUGAGUAAUGCAUAGGAAUCUGCCCGAUAGUGGGGGAUAACCUGGGGAAACCCAGGCUAAUACCGCAUACGUCCUACGGGAGAAAGGGGGCUUCGGCUCCCGCUAUCGGAUGAGCCUAUGUCGGAUUAGCUAGUUGGUGAGGUAACGGCUCACCAAGGCCACGAUCCGUAGCUGGUCUGAGAGGAUGAUCAGCCACAUCGGGACUGAGACACGGCCCGAACUCCUACGGGAGGCAGCAGUGGGGAAUAUUGGACAAUGGGGGGAACCCUGAUCCAGCCAUGCCGCGUGUGUGAAGAAGGCCCUCGGGUUGUAAGCACUUUCAGCGAGGAAGAACGCCUAGCGGUUAAUACCCGCUAGGAAAGACAUCACUC
rnacentral:rRNA from 1 species